rnacentral:ribozyme from 13 species
AAACACAUAUACACUAAAACAACAAAUUCGAGCUCUAGAUCCUACCUAUUUCCACUUUUGUCUUUUUUGUUUUUUUCAUCUCUGUCCCUUUCUCUGUCUCUCUCUCCUUCUUUGCUC